rnacentral:rRNA from 1 species
GGUAUAGGUUGGCGAAGAAUGAAAUCUCAAGACCCAACCUGGACCAACUGAGGCGAAAGCGGUGCUCUUGUACGCGUCUGUGGAUCAAGGACGAAGGCUAGAGGAUCGAAAGUGAUUAGACACCGCUGUAGUUCUAGCAGUAAACUAUGCCGACAUUCUCUGUUGUUGAGACGGGGAGGGGAGAAAUCUUAGUUUUCGGGCUCUGGGGAUAGUACGCUUGCAAGAGUGAAACUUAAAGCGAAAUUGACGGAAGAUCACCACAAGGAGUGGAUUGUACUGCUUAAUUUGACUCAACACGGGAAAACUUACCAGGGCCAAGUCUCUCGUAGAUUGGCGACAUGAGAGGGGCAAGAGUGGUGCAUGGCCGUUGGAAAUUGAUGGGAUGACCUUUAGCUUAAGUGCUGUAACCAGUGAGAUCUUCUAGACAGGUGUCUUACUGACACAGGAAGGAGAAGGCUAUAACAGGUCCGUGAUGCCCUCAGAUGCCCUGGGCCGCAAGUGCAAUACAAUAUCCGUUUGAGCGACAUAAAUAUGCUUACGGAUGAGUAGGAUUAGCUCUUGUAAAUGAGCUAUGAAUGAGGAAUUCCUAGUAACUGUGUCUCAUCAAGGCACAGUGAAUGCGUCCCUGUUCUUUGUACACACCGCCCGUCACUAUUGCGGAUGGCAAUCAAGAUGAAGAGCCUAG